rnacentral:rRNA from 1 species
UACGUAGGGUGCAAGCGUUAAUCGGAAUUACUGGGCGUAAAGCGUGCGCAGGCGGUUUUGUAAGACUGUCGUGAAAUCCCCGGGCUUAACCUGGGAAUGGCGAUGGUGACUGCAAGGCUAGAGUUUGGCAGAGGGGGGUAGAAUUCCACGUGUAGCAGUGAAAUGCGUAGAUAUGCGGAGGAACACCGAUGGCGAAGGCAAUCCCCUGGGCCUGUACUGACGCUCAUGCACGAAAGCGUGGGGAGCAAACAGG